AUGCUAAACAAAUAUUUCACUUGUUUCACAAAAUAAAUUAAAUGGAUACAAAAGCAAUUCUCUUUCAUCUAUGAUUUCACAAACACAGCAAUUACAGCCUCAUAUUUGCCUCAUGAAACACAUGAUGCUUUCCAUCAUGGAUUUUAGCCUGCAUUAAUCAGGGUACAGUUUUGCCUUCAGUUUUUCCUAUUUUUUUCUGUUAGUUGCAAUUCUUUUUCUCAAAAUAUACAUGUAUGUUGUUUAUUCCCUUUACUGGAAAUAAUCUGCUGACCUUAAAAAAAGAUGGCAAGUAUUCAUAGCCUUCCCUUUUUGCCACCAAAAGAGUUUCUUGAUCAAUUCAUGUCUGUGUCUGUGAGUCUGUAAAAAAAAGAAGGAGUGCAAAUAUGACAAUCUAAUAUGUUUGCACAAGUCUCUCUGUGUGUUUCGUUGCGUGGUUUGUUUUUUUCCUGGGGAGAGCUGUGUUUUAUGGUUCAGUUAUAUUUCCUUUGCCACAGGCAUCCAUUUUGCUCUAAAGGUAAACCUCAGGAUUACUUUCUCUGAAGUCUUCAGGAGCCACUGAAAUGCUAAACACUCGGAAUAACUGGGAGAAGUAGACUUAAGCAAAGCAUGGUAUGAGAUGCCCUUAUGAACCUGUAGGGCUGUUGUUUGAGGAAGACUGAAGCUGCUCGCAGGAGAAUCCAGAAGGGCAUUGCAAAGGUGACCUUAGUACCAACAAAAAGAGUAAGACUUAAAGAUGGACAGUGAAUGUGGAAGAUAGAAAAAUCUGAACAAGAUGAAAGAAGACAGGAGCCUUGAAAAAAACCCAGUCUGUCACAUAUCAGGGGCACAACAUCUGGACAUCAGUAGCAGACAGACUGCCUGUUGUCCUGAUCCAGCUGCUUUCUUCUGGCUCAGCCUGAAAACUCAGGAGAGAGCACAAGUAGGGAUUAAUGAGCUGUUUUCAGGGAAAGCAAAUGCUCCAGGGAAGAUGGCACGGAGGUUUCAGAUAUUCAACAGACCAGCUCCUGCACACUCUCUGUUUAAACCUUCCCAAGUUUAACAACAACUGAGGAUCCAUUUUGCUUGAUCAGGCUCUCAAGAAGGUGCUGAAGUUACUUCCAGCAGCCUGAGAAGGUGCUGGUAUGUAAUGAUAAAAAUACUACACCUGAGCAGACAUUCUGUUUCCUUUUGGAAUAACAGACCAGAUGGCUUGGCUUACAAGACUGACUCAGGCAGCAGUAGCUGCAAUAGAUCUUCAGGUGUUAUAAAUUUUGACACUGUGAUAACCUGAUAUUUGAAAUCUUGCUAUGGUAUUCAGAAAUGUUUAAUAAAGUAA